AUUCCUACCUCUUAACUAGAACCGUUACCUCGGAUGUGACGUCAAAACCCAGCUUCCUGGAUAACCGGAAAGCGCAGUGAGCUAGAUGACGUCUUAAUCAGUUGUUUAUCCAAAGUAUCCAAACCGUCUCCAAAAGUCCUGCAGUAGGUUUAGGUGAUGUAAAGCUGUGAUGGACAGAGGGGCUGAGCAGGAUGUCCUCCCCAUCACGGAUUGAUUCAAGGCACCCAGAAAACGACAGAGCAGCUGUGGAAAAUUAAACUGGGUGUUGGAUAGAAAAGACAAAAACAAAGAGGUUUGUUUAUUUCUUCCACCGUCCUCAUGUCUCAACCUCUU